rnacentral:rRNA from 1 species
AGCGAACGCUGGCGGCAGGCUUAACACAUGCGAGUCGAGCGGGCAUCCUUGUGGUGUCCGCGGCAGACGGGUGAGUAACGCGUGGGAACGUGCCCUUCGGUUCGGAAUAACUCAGGGAAACUUGAGCUAAUACCGGAUACGUGCGAGAGCAGAAAGGUUUAUCUGCCGAAGGAUCGGCCCGCGUCUGAUUAGCUAGUUGGUGAGGUUAUGGCUCACCAAGGCGACGAUCAGUAGCUGGUCUGAGAGGAUGAUCAGCCACACUGGGACUGAGACACGGCCCAGACUCCUACGGGAGGCAGCAGUGGGGAAUAUUGGACAAUGGGGGCAACCCUGAUCCAGCCAUGCCGCGUGAGUGAUGACGGCCUUAGGGUUGUAAAGCUCUUUUCUCCGGGACGAUAAUGACGGUACCGGAGGAAUAAGCCCCGGCUAACUUCGUG